CCUACGGGAGGCAGCAGUGGGGAAUAUUGCACAAUGGGCGCAAGCCUGAUGCAGCGACGCCGCGUGAGGGAUGACGGCCUUCGGGUUGUAAACCUCUGUUAGCAGGGAAGAAGAGAGAUUGACGGUACCUGCAGAGAAAGCGCCGGCUAACUACGUGCCAGCAGCCGCGGUAAUACGUAGGGCGCGAGCGUUGUCCGGAAUUAUUGGGCGUAAAGAGCUUGUAGGCGGUUUGUCGCGUCUGCUGUGAAAGGCCGGAGCUUAACUCCGUGUAUUGCAGUGGGUACGGGCAGACUAGAGUGCAGUAGGGGAGACUGGAAUUCCUGGUGUAGCGGUGGAAUGCGCAGAUAUCAGGAGGAACACCGAUGGCGAAGGCAGGUCUCUGGGCUGUAACUGACGCUGAGAAGCGAAAGCAUGGGGAGCGAACAGGAUUAGAUACCCCAGUAGUC
rnacentral:rRNA from 1 species